GAACUUGCUAGGACUAAGAAACUUGAGGCUAGGCUGACCCCAUGGUUGUUAUGAUUAGAAAUCCGAGGCCACUGGAAACCCGGAGCUGCUGACCAACGAGUCACAGGGUAACUUCGCCUUCGCAUGGGGAAACGGGCUGGUGCAGUGGUGUCAUCUUGGCUCAGUGCAGCCUCGACUUCCUGGGAUCCAGCGAUCCUCCCGCUUCAGCCUCUAGAGUAGCCGAGACCACAGCUUCCUACGCAGGAAACAGCCAUCCACCCUCUGUGACUGGGCUUUUCCAGGUCACCCCUCGCUGCCAGGCUCUCUUCCCGGUCCAGAGCCCACAGGAUCCUACAGGAGGGGCCAACAACUGCUUGCCUUUGAAACUUGAAACUCUCGGUCUAAGGUUCCUUAGGAGCGUAAAAGGCACAGCGUUUUCUGAUCGCAGCUUCAGGUCUCCCGCCCCUGUCCCGGUACCUCUCCUGCAGGACGGAACUCUGUGGGAACGCUCGUUGAUUCUGAUGGUUAACUGUCAGAUAUCCUUGAUAUUGGACAUAGGAUUUGGAAGAGGGCAGGAGAGAAAAAUGAACUGCAAGACUCCAGCACAAGAGGUGGGAUUGCUGGCAGAUGUCUGCUCCCUCUCCAAACCUAAUGAACAUCUCAAAGUGCCAUCCACUUUCCUAUACCCUUGAUCUGUGAAAUGGAUCACUGACGCUUUCUCUGUCUUUCCGGAAAUGCAAAACAGGUGAAUUUUCAAGCGCUUGAAUUGUCUCUCACACUUUUCAGUCAAGAGUGGGGCUAUAAACUCCUUCCUCAUAGGAAAUAAGGAACUGCCACUGCUUGGAAGUAAAACGUAUUUUUCCCAUAAGCUUUCACAUUUCCCAAAAAAAAUUAUACAUCCAGAUGUAAUCCCCCUAAGAGGCUUACAGACCCUACCAGGAGCGUUCCCACGCGAACGCAUCAUCUCCCAAUCGGAUCCUGAAAACACCAUGCAACCAAUUCCAUCCUUUUCUGGAUCAACCUGGGCAGAGGACAGGUGCAGAGGAGCCCAGAGAAGGGCCUUGACAAGUCAGGAGACCCAAUUUGGGGUCGCAAUUGUCACUCACUCCCCAGGCGUUUGCUUUGAUCUUCCCCUCCCACCAUACUACUUCUUCUGCUACCUGGUUUCUCCCUGGUAUUUGAGGAUCCUCCAAUUGCCUUCUGGUCUUACAGACGGGAGAAUAAAGGAAAAAUGGCAUCGUUUCCACCUUAAAA
rnacentral:lncRNA from 1 species